GCUACGGGUGGCAGCAGUGGGGGAUAUUGCACAAUGGGGGAAACCCUGAUGCAGCGACGCCGCGUGUGGGAAGACGGUCCUCUGGAUUGUAAACCACUGUCGCCAGGGACGAAGAUGACGGGACCUGGGGAGGAAGCGCCGGCGAACUACGUGCCAGCAGCAGCGGUAAUCCGUAGGGAGCGAGCGUUGUCCGGAAUGACUGGGUGUAAAGGGAGCGGAGGCGGGGAGGCAAGUUGGGUGUCAACCCUACCGGCUCAACUGGUAGUCACACUCAAAACUGCAGCUCUUGAGUGCAGUAGAGGCAGGCGGAAUUCCUAGUGUAGCGGUGAAAUGCGUAGAUAUUAGGAGGACCACCAGUGGCGAAGGCGGCCUGCUGGGCUUUUCCUGACGCUGAGGCUCGAAAGUGUGGGGAGCAAACAGGAUUAGAUACCCCGGUAGUC
rnacentral:rRNA from 1 species